GACAGAGGUUGCAAACGUUGUUCGGAAUCACUGGGCAUAAAGCGCACGUAGGCGGUCUGUUAAGUCAGGUGUGAAAGCCCCCGGCUCAACCGGGGAACAGCAUUUGAUACUGGCGGACUCGAGGAUGGUAGGGGUGAGUGGAACUUCAGGUGGAGCGGUGAAAUGCGUAGAUAUCUGAAGGAACACCGGUGGCGAAAGCGGCUCACUGGACCAUCACUGACGCUGAGGUGCGAAAGCUAGGGUAGCAAACGGG
rnacentral:rRNA from 1 species